UUCGUAGCAAUAAGUGAUUUUGAUAUUGCUUGAUGUUUGUAUGAUCUGUAGUGUUAAUUUUGUUUGUUGUAUUCUCAUAUUUCUUUUAUGAAUGCAGGUUAUAUUGAAUCAUGGAUACUGACAUGUCUGGAGCUGUAGAGUGUAAGAAAAAGAAAAGGAAUAGAGGGAAGCGCAGGCCGUUCGUACCUCGUGUGGUCGAAGUGGUACAUACAAAUGCCUACGCCAAGGUCCGUUUUCCGGAGGAAAUUCCUGAUGGAGUGUUGAAGCCUAUCUAUUUCUAUUUUAUUUUCCAUCUUACCCUCGUAUAUUAAUUAUAUCUAUAUAUAUGAAUAAUUAACUAUGUUUAAUACAUUUUAUCAAA